rnacentral:rRNA from 1 species
GAGAUGUUGGGUUAAGUCCCGUAACGAGCGCAACCCUUGUCCUUAGUUGCCAGCAUUUAGUUGGGCACUCUAAGGAGACUGCCGGUGACAAACCGGAGGAAGGUGGGGAUGACGUCAAGUCAUCAUGGCCCUUACGGCCUGGGCUACACACGUGCUACAAUGGCGCGUACAGAGGGCUGCAAGCUAGCGAUAGUGAGCGAAUCCCAAAAAGCGCGUCGUAGUCCGGAUUGGAGUCUGCAACUCGAC